rnacentral:lncRNA from 1 species
CGCGUCAUUCCGCUUUCUGAAGGCUGUAGAGAGCCAAUGGAAGCCUUAGAAAGUGUCACAUAACAGCUCAGAUGCUGUAAUUUUGAUAGAGAUGCAACAGAAGGACUACAAAUUGUCAGACAGGCCACUUCCUGCAUGGAAUCUUCUCAGAUUUUUGCCUGCCAUAUGAGUUCUGUUGUACUCACAGACACCAUUCAAAGAGUUUUAGAAACCUUAGAGUGUUUUCUAUCCAAAUCUACUAAUUAUAUGCAUAUUCUAGUUUCUGGGCAAGAGUAGUAACCAGAUUAAAUCAGGUACGUUUUUUAUCCGGCCGUGAAAUUACUGCCCCCUAUCCACAACAGGUUUUAACAGUGAGAAUGGCAGAAUGGUGAACUUACUAAAUGAAAUGAGAGUUUGACUGCGUGAUAUUAUGUUGCUUCUUGUGUAAAUAUUUUCUGUCUGGAUUGUAAUGAUUUGUUGAAUUCAAAGUCAUUUCUUGUUAGGCUGAGUUCUAGUAAUUGUAAUAAUGCCUCAUUAGGUCCAUCUAUGAAAAAUGUUUUACAUUUCUCUAAGACAAGUUGAUGUCAAUGUUGGUAUGCAAAGAGUCAAUAUCAAUUGAGAAAAAAACAGUUUCUUGAGGCACACAAAUUUAUUUCAGUUUUGUCACAAAUUCAUACGUGUCUGAAGCUUUGAUGUUUCUGUGACAGAGGAUUUAUAAAAUAAUCUAAGUACUCAGCUAUUCUAUAUGAUUGCGAGCCACAAUCCGAUACAAUCGGCCUACAACAUGGAACCUCAGAAGGGAUUGUCCAAGUCUCAGGAGUUUUAUGGAUGUUAGGCAACAAAUUAAAUUGUCUGGGGCGUGGGGUAUCUGGUCCAUACUGCCCAUUUGGGGUGGCCAAGGGACCGAAGGUUGGAGGAGUAUUUAGGUCCUCUCUGUCGUAGGGUUUGUUGGUGGGUUGUAGUGGGUUUAUUGUAGUUGAGGUUGAUGAGAGGCUUGAUUGGAGAAUGGAUGGGUUGAAACACAGGAGGGCUGUUGCCUCCGUGUGUUUUUGUUGCUCCCUCGAUGGCUAGUGCCUUGGGGCCCAUUGCUGGGUCCGCCCUUAGCUUUGUAGCUUGUUGAGUAGAGUGUUGAUUGGAGUCUGUCGUGUCGUUUUUUAUGAUGGGAUGUGGUAGGUGCCGGUGUUGGGUUGGUCUGCAAUGUCAGAGGUUUUUGGAUGGUGAUGGUGGUGAUGGGAGCACAUUGAGGAUGAGAAGGUGGAGGAGGAGAGGGAUGAUGAAGAUGAGGCGGCGGCGGAGGUGAGGAGGAGGUGGCACGGUAGUGGUUGUAGUGGUGGUCUUCUUCCUUGUGGAGGGUAGUGGUGCCUCUUGUGUCUGGGUUGAGUGGGGUCUGGUGGCUGUUGUGUUCUCUCUUCUAGCCUGCUGGGAGAGUUCUGUCACAACACGCAUGAGGAGGGCUUUGUCAAGGGUAUCUGGAUCCUCUGGAGCCGGUGGAGAUGGUGGUCUGGUGGAGUGAAGAGGUGAUAGUGGGGUCCGGAGAGGACUGGAGGGCUGGUGGAGUGAAGAGGUGAUAGUGGGGGUCCAGAGAGGACUGGAGGGCUGGUGGAGUGAAGAGGUGAUAGUGGGGGUCCGGAGAGGACUGGAGGGCUGGUGGAGUGAAGAGGUGAUAGUGGGGGUCCGGAGAGGACUGGAGGGCUGGUGGAGUGAAGAGGGGAUAGUGGGGGUCCGGAGAGGACUGGAGGGCUGGUGGAGUGAAGAGGUGAUAGUGGGGGUCCAGAGAGGACUGGAGGGCUGGUGGAGUGAAGAGGUGAUAGUGGGGGUCCGGAGAGGACUGGAGGGCUGGUGGAGUGAAGAGGUGAUAGUGGG